rnacentral:rRNA from 1 species
GAUGAACGCUGGCGGCGUGCCUAACACAUGCAAGUCGAGCGAACAGACGAGGAGCUUGGUCCUAUGACGUUAGCAGCGGAGGGGAGCGUAACACAUGGAUAACCUAACUAUCAGAAUGGGAUAAUAAUGGGAGACCGGAGCUACUACCCAAAGAUUUAUUGAACUGCAUGGUUCACUAGUGAAAGUAGGUAUUUGUGUGACUAAUAGAUUACUCCGCCCCUCAUUAGUUAGUUGGUAAGGUAACGGCUUACCAAGGCUACGAUGCGUACCCGACCUGAGAGGGUGAUCGGCCACCUUGGAUCUGAGACACGGCCCAGACUCCGACGGUAGGCAGCAGUAGGGAAUCUUCCGCAAUGGGCCAAUGCUUGACGGAGCAACGCGGCGUGAGGGAUGAAGGUGUUCGGAUCGUAGAACUCUGUUAUUAGGGAAGUACAAAUGUGUAAGUAACUAUGCACGUCUUGACGGUACCUAAUCAGAAAGCCACGGCUAACUACGUG